rnacentral:rRNA from 1 species
AGAUUGAACGCUGGCGGCAGGCCUAACACAUGCAAGUCGAGCGGCAGCACGGGUACUUGUACCUGGUGGCGAGCGGCGGACGGGUGAGUAAUGCCUAGGAAUCUGCCUGGUAGUGGGGGAUAACGCUCGGAAACGGACGCUAAUACCGCAUACGUCCUACGGGAGAAAGCAGGGGACCUUCGGGCCUUGCGCUAUCAGAUGAGCCUAGGUCGGAUUAGCUAGUUGGUGAGGUAAUGGCUCACCGAAGGCGACGAUCCGUAACUGGUCUGAGAGGAUGAUCAGUCACACUGGAACUGAGACGACGGUCCAGACUCCGACGGGAGCAGC